UAACACGUGAGUAACCUGCCCUUAACUCUGGGAUAAGCCUGGGAAACUGGGUCUAAUACCGGAUAUGACUCCUCAUCGCAUGGUGGGGGGUGGAAAGCUUUAUUGUGGUUUUGGAUGGACUCGCGGCCUAUCAGCUUGUUGGUGAGGUAAUGGCUCACCAAGGCGACGACGGGUAGCCGGCCUGAGAGGGUGACCGGCCACACUGGGACUGAGACACGGCCCAGACUCCUACGGGAGGCAGCAGUGGGGAAUAUUGCACAAUGGGCGCAAGCCUGAUGCAGCGACGCCGCGUGAGGGAUGACGGCCUUCGGGUUGUAAACCUCUUUCAGUAGGGAAGAAGCGAAAGUGACGGUACCUGCAGAAGAAGCGCCGGCUAACUACGUGCCAGCAGCCGCGGUAAUACGUAGGGCGCAAGCGUUAUCCGGAAUUAUUGGGCGUAAAGAGCUCGUAGGCGGUUUGUCGCGUCUGCCGUGAAAGUCCGGGGCUCAACUCCGGAUCUGCGGUGGGUACGGGCAGACUAGAGUGAUGUAGGGGAGACUGGAAUUCCUGGUGUAGCGGUGAAAUGCGCAGAUAUCAGGAGGAACACCGAUGGCGAAGGCAGGUCUCUGGGCAUUAACUGACGCUGAGGAGCGAAAGCAUGGGGAGCGAACAGGAUUAGAUACCCUGGUAGUCCAUGCCGUAAACGUUGGGCACUAGGUGUGGGGGACAUUCCACGUUUUCCGCGCCGUAGCUAACGCAUUAAGUGCCCCGCCUGGGGAGUACGGCCGCAAGGCUAAAACUCAAAGGAAUUGACGGGGGCCCGCACAAGCGGCGGAGCAUGCGGAUUAAUUCGAUGCAACGCGAAGAACCUUACCAAGGCUUGACAUGGACCGGACCGGGCUGGAAACAGUCCUUCCCCUUUGGGGCCGGUUCACAGGUGGUGCAUGGUUGUCGUCAGCUCGUGUCGUGAGAUGUUGGGUUAAGUCCCGCAACGAGCGCAACCCUCGUUCCAUGUUGCCAGCGCGUAAUGGCGGGGACUCAUGGGAGACUGCCGGGGUCAACUCGGAGGAAGGUGGGGACGACGUCAAAUCAUCAUGCCCCUUAUGUCUUGGGCUUCACGCAUGCUACAAUGGCCGGUACAAAGGGUUGCGAUACUGUGAGGUGGAGCUAAUCCCAAAAAGCCGGUCUCAGUUCGGAUUGGGGUCUGCAACUCGACCCCAUGAAGUCGGAGUCGCUAGUAAUCGCAGAUCAGCAACGCUGCGGUGAAUACGUUCCCGGGCCUUGUACACACCGCCCGUCAAGUCACGAAAGUUGGUAACACCCGAAGC
rnacentral:rRNA from 1 species